rnacentral:rRNA from 1 species
UUGAACGCUGGCGGCAUGCCUUACACAUGCAAGUCGAACGGCAUCACGGGAGCAAUCCUGGUGGCGAGUGGCGAACGGGUGAGUAAUGUAUCGGAACGUACCUUUCAGUGGGGGAUAACGUAGCGAAAGUUACGCUAAUACCGCAUAUUCUGUGAGCAGGAAAGCAGGGGAUCGCAAGACCUUGCGCUGAUUGAGCGGCCGAUAUCAGAUUAGCUAGUUGGUGAGGUAAAGGCUCACCAAGGCGACGAUCUGUAGCGGGUCUGAGAGGAUGAUCCGCCACACUGGAACUGAGACACGGUCCAGACUCCUACGGGAGGCAGCAGUGGGGAAGUUUGGACAAUGGGCGAAAGCCUGAUCCAGCCAUGCCGCGUGCAGGAUGAAGGCCUUCGGGUUGUAAACUGCUUUUGUACGGAACGAAAAGACUCCUUCUAAUACAGGGGGUCCAUGACGGUACCGUAAGAAUAAGCACCGGCUAACUACGU